CGCACGGGUGAGUAACACGUGAGUGACCUGCCUUUUAGACUGGAACAACUUACCGAAAGGUGAGCUAAUGCCGGAUGAGUUAUAUAAGUGCAUGUUUAUAUAGGAAAAGUUGGGGAGACCUGACGCUGAAAGAUGGACUCGCGUCCCAUUAGCUAGUUGGUAGGGUAAUGGCCUACCAAGGCGACGACGGGUAGCCGGCCUGAGAGGGUGGCCGGCCACACUGGGACUGAGACACGGCCCAGACUCCUACGGAAGGCAGCAG
rnacentral:rRNA from 1 species